rnacentral:rRNA from 1 species
AGAUCCUUCGGGGUCUAGUGGCGCACGGGUGCGUAACGCGUGGGAAUCUGCCCUUAGGUUCGGAAUAACAGUUAGAAAUGACUGCUAAUACCGGAUGAUGACGUUAAGUCCAAAGAUUUAUCGCCUGAGGAUGAGCCCGCGUAGGAUUAGCUAGUUGGUGUGGUAAAGGCGCACCAAGGCGACGAUCCUUAGCUGGUCUGAGAGGAUGAUCAGCCACACUGGGACUGAGACACGGCCCAGACUCCUACGGGAGGCAGCAGUGGGGAAUAUUGGACAAUGGGCGCAAGCCUGAUCCAGCAAUGCCGCGUGA